rnacentral:rRNA from 1 species
UACGUAGGGCGCAAGCGUUAUCCGGAUUCAUUGGGCGUAAAGAGCGUGUAGGCGGCCAGGUAGGUCGGUUGUGAAAAACUGGAGGCUCAACCUUCAGAGGUCGACCGAAACCAUCUGGCUAGAGUCCGGGAGAGGAGAGUGGAAUUCCUGGUGUAGCGGUGGAAUGCGCAGAUAUCAGGAGGAACACCGAUGGCGAAGGCAGAUCUCUGGGCCGUAACUGACGCUGAGGAGCGAAAGCGUGGGGAGCGAACAGG